AUACGGAGGGUGUGAGCGUUAAUCGGAAUUACUGGGCGUAAAGGGUGCGUAGGCGGCUUGAUAAGUCGGAUGUGAAAGCCCCGGGCUUAACCUGGGAAUUGCAUUCGAUACUGUCAGGCUAGAGUAUGUCAGAGGUUGGCGGAAUUCCUGGUGUAGCGGUGAAAUGCGUAGAUAUCAGGAGGAACACCAGUGGCGAAGGCGGCUAACUGGGACAAUACUGACGCUGAGGCACGAAAGCGUGGGGAGCAAACAGGAUUAGAAACCCUAGUAGUCC
rnacentral:rRNA from 1 species